AGAGCGAACGCUGGCGGCAGGCCUAACACAUGCAAGUCGAGCGGGCACCGCAAGGUGUCAGCGGCAGACGGGAGAGUAACACGUGGGAACGUGCCCUUCGGUUCGGAAUAACUCGGGGAAACCCGAGCUAAUACCGAAUACGCCCUUACGGGGAAAGAUUUAUCGCCGAUGGAGCGGCCCGCGUCUGAUUAGCUAGUUGGUGAGGUAACGGCUCACCAAGGCGACGAUCAGUAGCUGGUCUGAGAGGAUGAUCAGCCUCACUGGGACUGAGACACGGCCCAGACUCCUACGGGAGGCAGCAGUGGGGAAUAUUGGACAAUGGGCGCAAGCCUGAUCCAGCCAUGCCGCGUGGAUGAUGAAGGCCUUAGGGUUGUAAAGUCCUUUUAACGGGGAAGAUAAUGACGGUACCCGUAGAAUAAGCCCGGCUAACUUCGUGCCAGCAGCCGC
rnacentral:rRNA from 1 species